GAGGUAACGUUAGCCCGGACCGUGUAGAGUAGAGAGAGAGAGGGAACGGAGGAAGAGGUGGAGGCCGACAGCGGCGCCGGUCCGGCCGCACCACCACGCGGAGGCGUGGUAGUCGUGUGGGUGGUGUUUGUAGGUGGUGAGUGGUGGUUGAAGUAGGUGGUCGCGGUGGUAGAGUUCGGUGGCGGCGUGGAGCGCGCGGGCUGGUCUGUUCCCGCUCGUGCCCGCAUACCAGGAGGCGCACUGGAGAGGGAGAGGCGGCUAGGAGAGAGGGACUACGGGGACGACGAGGAAGAGAAACGCGGAGGAAACGGCUAAGAGACGAGACUUGGAGUUCAACGACGACGGUGAAGAAGAGACUUGGGUUUGAAACGACAAACGACGAGGAGAAAGAAACGACGACGAAGAAGAAGAGUGCGGGGACGACGAAGAGAGGAGUGCAGGGACGACGAAAAGAGGAGUGCAGGGACGACGACGAGGUAAGGGUUAGAACGACAACAAGAGAGAGAGAGAGAGAGAGAGAGAGAGAGAGAGUUUAAAGACAUUAGAAGUCUUCACAGUAUUGAUCAUGAUACAUUACAAGUCAGAACUAUUAACAUCAUAGGACGACGAACCAAGUCAAAGCUUAAAUAUUAUAUUUACGAACUAAUCAUACGGACUCAUCAACUAUGGAAGAGUGAAUCUCUUCAUGAACUAGACAAUAUGAAACAAAUCACUUUAUCAUUAGAAGUAUACACACACCACAGGACACUAUAUAUGUAUACACACACAAACACUACACUACGUAUAUAAGACAGGAUGUUGGAACAAAGAAGGGAGACAGUAUGAACAACAAUAAUAUACAUAAGAACAGAACAACUAAAGGAAAACAACAAAUUCAUCAUUUUGGACACGAUCAUAAAAUCAAAGAGUUCAUUACUUUUAUGGUUUUUCUAUAACUCAUUUUAGACUUAAAGGGAAACGACAAACAGCAAAAGAAACAGUUGCUAGAAACGUUUGUUGGAACAAUCAAAUCCAAAAUAAAAGUCAAAAGUAGUGGGUUAAGACACAGUGGAUCGAAAUCGGCUCGCAAGAACGGCAGCGGAUCAGGGACACCUCUUGUGCUGUAGGCAUCAAACCCGCAUUUUUGGGACGAUAUAAUGUUAGCUAGUAAAACCGCGGCAACGGCCCCUGAUCGCAGCACGCUGGCACAAUCCGAUAUCUGAUCCAAAACGAAGACAAAGAUAGAUCACGGUAUAUAAACACUAUAUAGAGAAUGGGGAUUAGUGACAAGAUCAAUAGAAGAGAAAGAAAAGAACAAGUAAAACAUACAAUUUAGCAGAAGAACCUUUACCGUAAGAUGAGUCUAGUAGUACGGAUACGCUCGUUGUGAUGUUUGUCGUGCCUUUCAUAAGUUCUGGACUAUUCAUUCUAAAGGGUAGCUAAUCUACUAAAUCGAGCCGUCGCUCUUCAUCAAAAACUCCUAUCCGGAUCGAGAAUACUAGGAAUAAGAUCUCCAGUAGGAAUACAACGAGGAUGUACGAUAUAAACACCUAAAGUCCCGGUAAGUGGGCAACUUACAGUCGCACCAAUGAGAGUGGGAGGUCUAACAAAACCGUACUCGAAGCGAGUUCUCGUAUAGAGUAUGGUUUUGUUAAUGAGUGUACCCACCGGACUUUUGGGCUUAUACAGUAUAUCCUCGUUGUUGGGACUCUAGAGUAACAAACGGAGAUCAAUAGGUUACGUCCCUAAAUCCAUGUUACUCCUCUCGGUGUUGAUACGUGGUGUUUUUAAAGUAAGUCGAGGAUGAGUAUAUGGUGUCAUGGUCCUCUACACAGGUCACCUCAAUUUACCAGGAGGUAAACCAGUUGGUCGUUGAGGCCGUGGACAACACGUUAGAGUACACGUUCACGGGUGUGUUCUACUCAAGCUACUGUAUCUGUUCGAGUGUGAAAACUCAGAGCUCAAGUGAACCUCACGGCUCCUACUAGGAUAAUCCUUCCAAUAUGAUCUCCUUUACUUCUUCUAAUUCUCACCUUUCCUCGAUCACCUUCUUCAUUCUUUCUAACUCUUCUUGUAGUUGCGACCGUCAUGAUAGAGAAGGGAGGAACUCAACUCACAACAACCCUAUAGGGAACUCCACACACUCCAAGGUUGUGGAAGUGUAAGUCGACUCGUUCUAUCGCUCUCAGGUCUCCUUCUCUAUGAAGUCUAGGUUCUUCUUUAAGAACUUCGGUUCCGUGUUCUACUAGGUCUCGAGCUUAUGGGUUUACUUGUCCAACUUCUAGGUUACAGAUGGUGAGGGUUUCUUCAUCUUCUUCGACAACAUCAACUUCUACUUCUUGGUCUUUAAGCAAAAGGAUAACAGUAUGUUCUCACACUACAUCGUCCAAAUAGAUUAGGAGAACUACUGUACGCAGGUAUACUAGACAAACGGUGAUAAAACGUAACGUACUAUGGUAGUUAAUUCGAUCUGAACUUUUUUACAAACGAACUUGUACUAGUAUGUAUGAGACAAUAACCGUAAAGAGAGUAAAUACUACUACUGUGAAUAAAAGGAGUACGAUCUGGAUACGAAUUACUAUUUAUAGUAGGAGUACAAUCAUAACGCGAACGACUAAAGAUAGUAUGAGCAGUACAAGAUAUAAGGAUACGAAUAUGUUAACCUAUAAGCUAACUGCUGAAUCUCCCGUAGAUGGGAUAGUGAACAUCAGCAACAAACACACUCAGGAUAAAGUCCAAAGACGAACACGUGUUUAGUUAUGUACGACUGGUCCAAGCUCCACUGUAGGGAACCCUAGGGCCACCUCAGUCUCGUACCGCUACUCCUCUUCGUUCCCCGUGUGUACUUCUUCUCACUUCGACCUCGUACGUGCUCCUUCGUUUCCUCUUCUCGACGUCGAAUCUCUCACUAGUUCGCUCACAAUGAAUUAUCACGGGCCACUCGACAAAAUACUGGGUAAAACUUGUAGUAUUUAUGUACGACUUAAGUUAACGAUCAACCCAACGAACUCGGUCAAUAAUGAACAACAGUUCGACUUUAAGUGGAAACCGUAGCACGAACUACACUUAAACACUUGAACUAAAGACUUACGGAACAUUUGAUCACUAGAUGUGGUACGUACGAACCGACUUUAAUCACUCUUGAUAAUCAAAACUCACGAGUUUAGGGAUCAUGUGAUCUUUUGAAGCAGUAAAAGACGUAAAUGAUACUAUGUGGAUCUAUUGGUACAAAUCUACGACUUAAACACGCUUCACACAAGGGUAACUCUCGUUAGUGGAUUGGUGAUACCUAAUCGUACGAUACAAGGGACCUAGUCAUCGUACACUUGGUCUGUACCUCUUCACUCCUAAGGAAAAAAACACGAAUACACAACAAGUAAUUUUUUAUAUAGAAUAUUACUUAUUAAUAGACUAGAAUGGAUUGUCAUCGUACAGUACAAGGGAUCUAACCACCGAACACUUUAGACCAACCUAGCCUAUCCUCAAUUAAUAUAAUUUUUUUACAUUAACAGCUUGGUCCACAUAUGGUACAAGAGUCCUAGCCACCAUACAAGGAAACCCCUCUGCUUGUUUUUUUUUGAUUUUUAACCAGCUCGGUCCACAUAUGGUACAAGAGCCCUAACCACCAUACAAGGAAACCACUCUGGCCAUUUUAUAAUAGUAACAACGAAGGAGGUUUAGGUUAUUCACCAAGAUGGUGUUACAAUACAAGGAUCAUUAUCCACAGAGAACCCUAGUACGAGAGAAAUCCUUGGAAAACCGUGUUAGUCGUAAACUUGAACAAUUAGAAGAAAAUAGUAACAUUUUCAAAUUUUACUAAAUCAAAUGAUCACAGGAUAACGAAACAUCGUGAGGAUUGUUAAUUAAAAGUGAUUGGUUCAGACUUCGUACGUCACAAAUCUCUAGAUGAAGUGAACUGUAAAAGAUAAGUCAAGUGAUAAGUGAUAGAACGAGAACAGUAUAAGGAAACGAACUCCUGUUCGUUUCUAAAUUCACACCCCCUUGAACUAUUCGUGUAAAGUAUAUAUAUUAAAACUGUGUGUUUAAGUGGUAAAGAACUCUACACUGGUAGAUAAGAACGUUUCUUAAUAGCUUAUAACGUACUUUUAGUAUAUCUUCCUAACAACUGAUCAGUGAACAAAUAAAACGUCUUUUCACGCUGUUCCGUGUUUUGAGAAGAUGAUGUUUACUAGUUCACUACCUCAGUUCCUCGACUCGCACUUCCUUUCUUCAUUGGCUCCCCGGUUUGAUUUCUACCCUCCUGGUUGAACCCUUCUUUCUUCCUUCCUCCCGGUUUCACUUUUGUAAGUCUAGACUAGCCCUCCCCUAGUUUUAGGGAUCGGCGUAGAGGUAACGUUAGCCCGGACCGUGUAGAGUAGAGAGAGAGGGGAUGGAGGAGGUGGAGCCCGGCGGCGGCGCCGGUCCGGCCGCACCACCACGCGGAGGCGUGGUAGUCGUGUGGGUGGUGUUUGUAGGUGGUGAGUGGUGGUCGCGGUGGUAGAGUUCGGUGGCGGCGUGGAGCGCGCGGGCUGGUCUGUUCCCGCUCGUGCCCGCAGACCAGGAGGCGCACUGGAGAGGGAGAGGCGGCUAGGAGAGAGGGACUACGGGGACGACGAGGAAGAGAAACACGGAGGAAACGUCUAAGAGACGAGACUUGGAGUUCAACGACGACGGUGAAGAAGAAGAGACUUGGGUUUGAGACAACAAACGACGAGGAGAAAGAAACGACGACGAAGAAGAAGAGUGCGGGGGACGACGAAGAGAGGAGUGCAGGGACGACGAAAAGAGGAGUGCAGGGACGACGAAGAGGUAAGGGUUAGAACGACGACAAGAGAGAGAGAGAGAGAGAGAGAG
rnacentral:rRNA from 1 species